rnacentral:misc_RNA from 1 species
ACCUCGACGAUAAAGACCAAAACAGAAAACCCUAGGAUCUUCUCUCACCUUUCCCACACAGUUGCACGCACAGAGCAGAGAGCUCCAGCCGCGGCGUGAGCUAGAGCAAAUCAGCAUGAAGUUCAACAUCGCGAAUCCUACUACUGGAUGCCAGAAGAAGCUCGAGAUCGAUGACGAUCAGAAGUUACGAGCAUUUUUUGACAAGAGGAUCUCACAGGAGGUCAGUGGAGAUUCUCUGGGUGAGGAGUUCAAGGGCUAUGUUUUUAAAAUCAUGGGAGGCUGUGACAAGCAAGGAUUUCCCAUGAAGCAGGGAGUGCUAACUUCUGGUCGUGUCCGUCUGUUGCUGCACAGAGGCACCCCAUGCUUCCGUGGAUAUGGAAGACGCAAUGGAGAGCGCAGGAGAAAAUCUGUUCGUGGGUGUAUUGUUAGUCAUGACCUUUCUGUUUUGAACUUGGUUAUAGUGAAGAAGGGCGAAAAUGAUUUGCCUGGGUUGACUGACACUGAAAAACCUAGGAUGAGGGGUCCUAAGAGGGCAUCCAAGAUCCGGAAGCUUUUUAAUCUCUCCAAGGAGGAUGAUGUCCGCAAGUAUGUGAACACAUACCGUAGAACCUUCACAACAAAAUCUGGGAAGAAAGUGAGUAAGGCUCCAAAGAUACAGAGGCUUGUAACUCCAUUGACCCUUCAGAGGAAGCGUGCGAGGAUUGGUGAGAAAAAGAAGAGAAUUGCAAAGGCCAAGGCUGAGGCAGCCGAGUACCAGAGACUUCUGGCCACCAGAUUGAAGGAGCAGCGGGAGCGCCGUAGCGAGAGCUUGGCAAAGAGGAGAUCUAAGCUUUCUGCUGCUUCCAAACCAUCUGUUGUUGCAUAGACUGGCAGUUAAGUUUUGGUGAAUUUCUCACCACUAAAGGUUUUGGUAGUGUCAUAAUUUACCCGGGUGGCUGUGCAUUCCCCUUUUAUCAAACAUUGAGAGUGUGUUUUGUUAUUUAUGCCUUUUAUAAGUUUGACAUCUAGCUAGUAUUACAUUGUGGGUUAUAUACUUUGCUACUAUGAUCGCACGCUGCUACUAAAUAUAUAC